UGGGGAAUAUUGCACAAUGGGCGCAAGCCUGAUGCAGCCAUGCCGCGUGUAUGAAGAAGGCCUUCGGGUUGUAAAGUACUUUCAGCGAGGAGGAAGGCGUUGUGGUUAAUAACCGCAGCGAUUGACGUUACUCGCAGAAGAAGCACCGGCUAACUCCGUGCCAGCAGCCGCGGUAAUACGGAGGGUGCAAGCGGUAAUCGGAAUUACUGGGCGUAAAGCGCACGCAGGCGGUCUGUCAAGUCGGAUGUGAAAUCCCCGGGCUCAACCUGGGAACUGCAUCCGAAACUGGCAGGCUAGAGUCUUGUAGAGGGGGGUAGAAUUCCAGGUGUAGCGGUGAAAUGCGUAGAGAUCUGGAGGAAUACCGGUGGCGAAGGCGGCCCCUGGACAAAGACUGACGCUCAGGUGCGAAAGCGUGGGGAGCAAACA
rnacentral:rRNA from 1 species